rnacentral:lncRNA from 1 species
ACCGAUAAUUUUUCGUUCUUUCCUUUUCCACAGAUUUGUUGUCAUUUUGAAUUAUCUCAAAUCGACAUAAAUAUCCUUGUGGAAUAUGCUCUGUUAAUUUCCCUAAUUCUCUUGAAGAUAAUAUUUCCUCUUCAAUAACAGGACUGCCUUUCCAGUGUACCAACUGAUUUUGUAAUAUAAAUUCCAUUGACAUAUCAGAAUAGUCUGUCAUUAUUUUAGCAAUUGAUCUCAUCCAUUGAACUUCCAGAACGAUAUUUGUACCUUCUAGCUGCAUAUUAAAUAAAUAUGUUGUAAUAGUGGUACCUUGGAUUUUGAUUUCUACACCUCUGGAUAUUGUAGAACAGCCCAGUUAUUCCCCACUUCCUAUUGCAACUGUAAAUUCUUUAAUUGGUGAUACUGCCAAUUUAAGUCUUUUUGCAACCUCCGUUUGGACAAAAUUGUGCGAUGAUCCCGAAUCGAUCAAAACAGAAACUAUUUGUUCAGCAAUCGAACCAAUCAACCUAAUUGUCUCCGGAUCCGGUUGACCAUUCAUAGCAUACAAGCUAAUCCUUGAUACUUCGGUUGAUUGUAUGUUAUCCACGGUAUCUUUGAAUUCUUCCACAUCAUCAAAUUCUUCCUCAUUAACCUCGAUGAGCAUAUCUCCCUCGGUAGAUAAUCUGAAUAGACAUCCUUUACACUUAUGGCCACGAACCCAUUUUUCAUCGCAAUUGUAGCAAAGGUUCUUCUCUCUCCGAGCUUUCAUUUCUUCCGGUGCUAGUCUUGUUCUAAUCAUUGGAUUUUUGUUCGCUUCGCUAUCGGCAAUACGCUUAUGCGGAGGUACAUAAUUGCUCCUCUGUUUUUCCCAUAAUUUCAUUUGUUUGUUGUCGUGUUGAAUUUCUUCCUCAUCUUCACAAACAGUUGCUAAAACGAAAGCUUCCGAAAUGCCUUCCGGUCUUGCUUUCACCAAUUCCUUCCGAAUUUCAGGUUUCAAUACAGUGAUAUACAUCUGCCUUUUUGUCUCCUCCGAAACGCCUCUUACUUUAGUCGCUAGAGCUUCGAAUUUACUUUGAUAUCCCCUAACUGAACUUGUCUGUACCAGCCUGCCAAGAUGUCCAGUUGGUAAAUCAUACGGGCUGCUCCCGAACCGCCUUUGAAUAUCUUCCAAAAACUCUGCCCAUGAAUUCAGUUUACCUUCAUCCUCCAUCCAGACCAUCCAAUCUAGAGCCUCGUCCUCCAUAUUCAUUGUUGCUUGCACUAUUCUUUUUUCGCGUUGAACUUUGGUAUUUUUGUGUGAAUAUUUUUUUCUUCGGUUGAUUGUCGCGACCGAAACGGUUAGGCCCCAUCUGAAUAUCUGAAGAUAAUGAAGCACCAUCAUUAAUUAUUUUUGUUAAAUCCAGAUCUGUAGCCCCAAUCUUUGUCAUCAUCUCAUUCAGCCUUGCAAAAGACUUUUUGUUUUCUUCAGCAUCAAAUUCGAUUUUCUUCCUCAAUGUUGCCACAAUUUCCUCUGGCGAUGUCAUUCUGUUAACAAAAUUUUCGAUCUCAAUAAAAAUUAAUCGAAAGCAGUAAGGAUAAGAUUACGUCCUUAUCUAGAUCUAGGUCUAGAGCUAGAUCAACUUUUGGAAGAUUUUUGAAAUAAUUUAAGUCGUUCCCGACUGUGUACUGCUCCUUUUCUUUCCUUUGAUUUUUUUUUUAAAGAAAUUAACGUCGUUCCCGACGAUCUUCUUUUACAGCAGUCCGAUUGAAAGCACCAAAUGUUAAGGCAGCAACCCCCAAAAACGAGCUUGCUGCAGUAACCUGAAAUUGAGUCACGGAGGAGAAGAGAAUUUGCUGUAAGACCGUGUCCUAAGCUUCAUAAGUCAUGCUUAUUGAGAAAAAUAAAAAUGAUACCCUAAAAUUAGGGUUUACAAAGUUUAAAUAGUCUUGGCCAACAGACUGGGCCUAUAAAAAUAAUAACAAGACUUCCCAUUUUAAAAUAAUAUAAUCUUUAAAUUUAAUGGGUUGAACCUUUACCCUUUUGCCACUACCAAUGUCUUCAGAUGUACUUGUUUUGUUUGACUCAAACCGUUCAUCUAACUUUUGCAGGUCACGUUCUUCCUCUUCUCCAUCAGCUUCCCCCGAUGCCUCCUCCCAGAUCUGCUCUUCCUCUCCAGGUAUGUCCAUGGUUGCUUCUUCCUCUCUUCUAUCUUCAUUAUUCAGUAUCUCUUGCAUAUCAUGUAAUACUACUUCCCUUUGACAUGUGUAUCUAUCAGAUUCGUUUAAUUAAACAAACCGAACCGUUCGUCGAACCUCAACCAGAUUCGGUCCGUUUAACAUUUUAUUAUAUUUUAUUAUUUUAUAUUUAUAUUAUAAAUUUAUAUUGUAUAACUUAUAUUAUAUAAUUUUUUAUUAUAUAUUUUAUAACUUAUGUAUAUUUUUGUAAUUUUUCAAUAAUAUAGUAUAUUAAAUUAUUAAUGCUG